rnacentral:rRNA from 1 species
UACGAAGGGGGCUAGCGUUGCUCGGAAUUACUGGGCGUAAAGCGUAUGCAGGCGGAUCGUUAAGUCGGGGGUGAAAUCCCGAGGCUCAACCUCGGAACUGCCUUCGAUACUGGCGACCUUCGAGUCCGGGAGAGGUGAGUGGAACUCCGAGUGUAGAGGUGAAAUUCGUAGAUAUUCGGAAGAACACCAGUGGCGAAGGCGGCUCACUGGCCCGGUACUGACGCUGAGAUACGAAAGCGUGGGGAGCAAACAGG